CUGUGUUUUACACCACAUGGUACUGUUUUCACAUUUGUUGUUUUUGUAAAUUGAAGUGUUCAGUUUGGAUUGAUUAUUAAAUAAGAUGAACACUAACCACCCUGCGCUUUGGUCCUCUCCUUCAACGGAAGAAAACCGUUACAUUUAUUCUCUGAAGACAUUUAAUAUACAGAAACUGUAGAUGAGCAAAUAGAAUUUCAGAAUACUGCAAUGACCACUAAAUUGAUGAGAGACUCAUGGAGUUGGAUGCAAGUCCCAUCCCCCAGGAACUUAUAUUCAUAGAUGAGGCUGGAUUCAAUUUCGCGAAGACGAGGAGGAGGGGAAGGAAAAUCAUUGGUCAACGCGCCAUCAUUGAGGUACCUGGCCAAAUUGGGGGAAAUGUCACCAGAUGCGCAGCCACAAUGGGGUCCUCCACCACCAUGCCACCAUUGGACCAUACAACACUGCCCUUCUCCUUCAUUUCCUGAACACCUUACAUUACAAUCUUUUUCAGCCAGAGCAGAGAGGGCCAGGUCAUCCUGAACAGCAAAUCUAUGUUCUAAUUUGGGACAAUAGUCCUGUCAGGAGUGGAUGUGUGAUGCCAGAAGAUAUUUCCC
ensembl:lncRNA